rnacentral:lncRNA from 1 species
GGGAUUUACUAUGUUUGAAGUAAGCAUCUCAAUUAAAUAGAUGCUCACCAUUUUAUCUGGAUUCACUACAGAGUUUCCAGAAACAUUAUUUAGACAAGGUGCAACCAGUUUGUCUUUCAAUAAAUAUGAAUUGCUUCAAGCAAGAAAGAUUCUGGCAACAUGUGCUCUCCACUCUGAAUCUCAAAAACCUGAGGACAUGUCACACCCAGGUCAAACCAACACAUUUCCAAAAGUUGUUCAUCCGAUUCAAUUGAUAACAUCAACUAUUGGGCACAGACUUCAUUUCCCAAUCCUUCAUGACACAUUUUAUGAUCUGGAAGAUGGCAACUCAGCUCACUUGAUACUUGCCAUAAAAUCAGCAAAUGAAUAUCCUUCAGGCCCAGACAGCAGGCUGCAAUUUAAUGCUUCUCAUCAAAUACUACAUGGAUACCCCCCCUUUGAAUGGAUUUUAAUUGUUUCCCUCAGGAAUUGAUUCUUUAUGCCAGAUUCUGGGGCCCUGGCUGCUCAGAUGCUUUUCACCAUUGAACUGAACCUGCCCAGAAAUACUCCCUGCCACAGUUAAACACUCCAUGCACAAAAAACAGUUUCUACCCAUUUGUAAAGAAAAGAGAGAGGGUUGGUUUUUUGUUUUUUGUUUGUUUGGUUGGGGUGUUUUUGUUUUUUUGUUUUUUGUUUUUUUGUUUUUUUGGGUUUUUGGGGGGGUUUUUUGUUUUGGCUAAACUCACUGACUAAAUUCCACUGACCCUGAACAAAUUGUAUUAAUGACCCUGAGACCAGGGUCUACUAUUACAUCCUGGUAUAACAGUGCUUUAUGUUUAGCCAAUGGCAGUGUUCUGAAAUGGUGUCCUAACAGAAAAAUCCAGGAAGUGACCUUUAACCUACAGAGGGAGGCCUGAUAGAAAUGUCCAUCCAAACUUUGCAUAUGCUAUGUUACCAGAAUACAAAAUUAGCACAACAGAGAACAUGACAUAUAGUGGGAUCUGCCUGAUUCUGGAGGCAGUGGGUCAUUAAUUGAAAACAGCAUUCUUGCUUCAAUUAGCAUAGAAAAUAGCCCCUAGAUUAGAAAUAUCUUUCUGGCUCUGUUGGUAAGUGUAUGUACACUGACUGGUAACAGCAGAAAGUGUAGCUUACCAUUCCUGUAAGAAAUAGAAGACUUUUCUUUUACCUCUGUCCCAGGUGUUUCAAGGGGGAAAUUUAGUAAGUGAUACUAAGGCCUUAAGAUAUCUUCAAGGUAUUAAGGCCUUGAAAGCUACCUCUAAUGGGUAUGAAGCUCUGCCUUCCCCUCAGUGAGGGAGAGUGUCUUCCCAGAGUCAGCCUUACAGAGAAAAUGUAAUCCCGGCCACAGAAACAAGAGCCACCAUUCUCCCAGCCUCCAAAAUAUCAGCUCCUGUUACAUUAUGAAAUGGAAUCAUUAGCCAGAGGAAAAGUAAGUAAUGUUAUGAGAAAUCCACACGCAUCAACAACUGCAUAAGAAACAGGGCUAAUUGAUACAGAAAUUAGGUAAAAUAAACAAUUGAUGAAUCAAAUUGCCAGAGAAUGAGCAAUAAAUAAUUUUAUCCUCUGUGUUAAUUGUAUUAACACACUACCAGUUAACUCUAAUCACUUAUUUUGCCUUGCAAACUUGGAUGGCCCAUUGCAAAUUUAUCUCCCCAGGCCACCACUGCCAUAAACAAAUCAUGUAAAGACUCAUCCAUUAAGAAAAGAAAUUGCACCAGUGGCAACAGCAUCUCCCAAUGUGAAAAAUGCCAUCGAUUGCCAACUCAAGUCAAUCAUUACAAUCUUCAGCACAAAGACACAAAUAAUUUAACACUAAAUAAUAAAUUCUAUAAUAGGUUAAAGUUUUACUAUAUAUGAGCAAAGAAUUAUUAAAUAUUUAUUUCUCCAUUUUAUUUUUACCUUUAGCAUGCUAACAAACUCAUCAUAUUGAUUUUAAGGCUACCAAAAAAUAACAAACCUUCCCUCAAUUCUGUUCUCUCAUAACAGGCAAGGAUACUUUUGUUACAAUGCCUCUGAAACAGCUGACCACACUUACAUCCCCUACUUCUAACUUCCUUCAAGUAAUAACUCAAUAGCUGCAAUGUACUUUCUACUUCUACCAUUCCAUGGAAAUGGUUUUUUGGAAGUAAUUGUCAGCAUCUUGGCUCACGUAUCCUUUGGCUGACCUUCUCUUAGACUUCAGCCUUCUGAACAUCUCUACAGGUCCUAUGACAUUUCUUUAUUUCUACCACGCUGACCUUUAUUUUUCCUUCUCUUCUACCCCUUUAAACAUGAUCCACAAUGACUGUCCUUGAACUUGGUAAGUACAUAAAUGUAAUAUGAUGCCAGUUUUUAAAUAAGGACAAUAUUUUCCCCCUCCUUUUAAUAUUCUAAUUUAAAUAAGUUCACUAUUAUCCCAUUUCUUACAAAGGAAGAAAUUAUAGGGGCAUUUUAACUCAAUAUCACUUUUUCUCCCUUAGAGCUUUUCAUUUUCAAUUGACUCAGAGCAACAAUGGAAUUAAUUUAAAAUGUUACAAAUAAGGGGCGCCUGGGUGGCUCAGACAGUUAAGUGUCAGACUUGGGCUCAAGUCACAACCUCACAGUUUGUGAGUUUGAGUCCCUCAUCUGUGCUGCCAGCUCAGAGCCUGGAUCCUGCUUUGGAUUCUGUCUCCCUCUCUCUGCCCUCCCUCUCUUGCUCAUGCUCUGUCUCCCUCUCCCUGUCUCAAAAAUAAAUAAGCAUUAAAAAAAAUAAAAUGUUACAAAUAACACUUCUAAGCAGACACUAAAUUAAGUUUUCACCUUUCACUAGAAGGAAAUUAUUUCAGUAUUCACAACUUCCUACAUUUAUAGUUUCUGUUGAAUAUUCAGACAGGAUAUAAAGACAAAUAUAUGUAGUGAAGCAUAUGAAAUUGCCAAUAUUCGGUUAUGUUUUUUAAAUAAAAAUGGCAAUUUCAUAUGGUUCAGUAGAAUAUGUUCAUUUUAAUUAUGGAAAUAGAGAUAAAUGGAAUAAAACUUGAUAAGUAUAAAUGGAGAUCCCAGAGUCUCCUAAAUUAAAUCUAAUCCUUCAAAUCUUCACAAUAUUAUGGAAAUUUCUAGAUUUGCUCACGUUAGCAACAUGUCCAUAACAAAAUUAGCAUCUGGACACUUUUGUCCUCUACAUAGGUGCAAUUGUACUAGUAACUUUAAUUGAAAUGUGCCAGUAAUAACAAGGCAAAUAACUCAGUGCUUCAUAAAACAAUCUUGAACAAAAUACCAUAGACUGUUUUUUCCUCAACUAAGGGUACCUAAGUGUACCAUAAAGUCAGGAAUAUAGAGCAAUAUUCAAGAAUUCAAACACUUGGUGACCUUCCUCCAAAACUAAGCUGUUGUAUCGUUCAGGUUGAUUCUUAACACUUACAUGAAGCAUCAAUGUCAAGCAAUCCACACAUUAAAAAGUCUAUGCUAUAUUAAGUUAUAAUGAUGUUUGUGCAUAGCCAUAUGGUGAUUUUGAACAAUAUUCAAAUAAAAUGGAACUUUGUG